AUGGAGAGCAGUCAUCAGACUUGGUGGCUAUGAACAGGUGACUUCCAAAAACGAUCAAGCACAAGGCUGAUGCUUCAAAACCAUAUAUAUUCCUUCAUGUUGUAGAAUUUUUUUUGGAUUCCUUCAUUGAUUUUCCUUUUAAUUUUUGUUCAAUUACUUACUGGUUUUCAAUGGAUGGAUGUUUAAAACUUGUCUCAAUUAAUGUUUUGAAUGGAAUGAUUGUAAAGUUUGGGAUUGAGCAGGAAAAUAUGAUGAAUUUUAAUGUUAUAUUUAGGUUGGGUUGAA